AUGCCACGACUUUACCCACGACAAAGAGAACAGACAAUAUGACGUUUUAAUGCUGUACAGCGCCCUCAAGUCGUUGCAAAUGCAUUUAACUGCAAUGUACGCAUCAUCCAACGUCUCCGUGAACUCCACAAUGUAACAAACAGUUCAAAUGACCGUCCACGUGCUCAACGCUAAUGGUGACCUGAAUUAAUUAAAUCUGUGAUAUGGUGGUGAAAAACUGUAUCAAUGAACAGUGAACGAACUGAAAUGAUGUGAAUUUGUGAAAUAACAAGGGUAUUUAUAC
rnacentral:lncRNA from 1 species